GGGAUUGCCCUAGUAACGGCGAGUGAAGCGGCAACAGCUCAAAUUUGACAUCUGGCGCAAGCCCGAGUUGUAAUUUGUAGAGGAUGCUUCUGGGUAGCGACCGAUCUAAGUUCCUUGGAACAGGACGUCAUAGAGGGUGAGAAUCCCGUAUGUGACCGGCCCGCACCCUUUACGUAGCUCCUUCGACGAGUCGAGUUGUUUGGGAAUGCAGCUCUAAAUGGGAGGUAAAUUUCUUCUAAAGCUAAAUACCGGCCAGAGACCGAUAGCGCACAAGUAGAGUGAUCGAAAGAUGAAAAGUACUUUGGAAAGAGAGUUAAAAAGCACGUGAAAUUGUUGAAAGGGAAGCGCCUGCAACCAGACUUCGCGGCAGUGUUCCGCCGGUCUUCUGACCGGUUCAUUCUCUGUCGCGAGGCCAUCAUCGUCUAGGCCCGCCGGAUAAGACCUUGGGAAUGUAGCUCACCUUCGGGGGAGUGUUAUAGCCCAUGGUGAUGCGGCGAGGCUUGGGCGAGGUCCGCGCUUCGGCAAGGAUGAUGGCGUAAUGGUUGUCGGCGGCCCGUCUUGAAACACGGACCAAGGAGUCUAACAUCUAUGCGAGUGUUCGGGUGUCAAACCCCUACGCGUAAUGAAAGUGAACGGAGGUGGGAACCGCAAGGUGCACCAUCGACCGAUCCUGAUGUCCUCGGAUGGAUUUGAGUAAGAGCAUAGCUGUUGGGACCCGAAAGAUGGUGAACUAUGCCUGAAUAGGGUGAAGCCAGAGGAAACUCUGGUGGAGGCUCGCAGCGGUUCUGACGUGCAAAUCGAUCGUCAAAUUUGGGUAUAGGGGCG
rnacentral:rRNA from 1 species